UACGAAGGGGGCUAGCGUUGCUCGGAAUCACUGGGCGUAAAGAGCGCGCAGGCGGUCGUUCAAGUCGCGUGUGAAAGCCCCCGGCUCAACUGGGGAGGGUCACGCGAUACUGAUCGACUGGAAGGCAGGAGAGGGUAGUGGAAUUCCCGGUGUAGUGGUGAAAUGCGCAGAUAUCAGGAGGAACACCGGUGGCGAAGGCGGGUCUCUGGGCCGAUAUUGACGCUGAGGAGCGAAAGCGUGGGGAGCAAACAGG
rnacentral:rRNA from 1 species